AUUACGUUGCGGCUCGUCAUCGGGCACUUUGCUAUCAUAAAUGCAAGCUGCCUUUUGAAGGGCAACACCGUGGU
rnacentral:pre_miRNA from 1 species